GUCGUGACUGCGUGCCUUUUGAAGAAUGAGCCUGCGAGUUAGCGGUGUGUAGCGAGGUUAACCCGUGUGGGGAAGCCGUAGCGAAAGCGAGUCCGAACAGGGCGAUUGAGUUGCACGCUCUAGACCCGAAGCGGAGUGAUCUAGCCAUGGGCAGGUUGAAGCGGAGGUAAGACUUCGUGGAGGACCGAACCCACCAGGGUUGAAAACCUGGGGGAUGACCUGUGGUUAGGGGUGAAAGGCCAAUCAAACUCCGUGAUAGCUGGUUCUCCCCGAAAUGCAUUUAGGUGCAGCGUCGUGUGUUUCUUGCCGGAGGUAGAGCACUGGAUAGGCGAUGGGCCCUACCGGGUUACUGACCUUAGCCAAACUCCGAAUGCCGGUAAGUGAGAGCACGGCAGUGAGACUGUGGGGGAUAAGCUCCAUGGUCGAGAGGGAAACAGCCCAGAGCAUCGACUAAGGCCCCUAAGCGUACGCUAAGUGGGAAAGGAUGUGGAGUCGCAGAGACAACCAGGAGGUUGGCUUAGAAGCAGCCACCCUUGAAAGAGUGCGUAAUAGCUCACUGGUCAAGUGAUUCCGCGCCGACAAUGUAGCGGGGCUCAAGCGUACCGCCGAAGUCGUGUCAUUGCAGCAAUAGGGCCAACGCCCGCUGUGAUGGGUAGGGGAGCGUCGUGUGCCGGGUGAAGCAGCAGCGGAAGCUAGUUGUGGACGGUUCACGAGUGAGAAUGCAGGCAUGAGUAGCGAUACACACGUGAGAAACGUGUGCGCCGAUUGACUAAGGGUUCCUGGGUCAAGCUGAUCUGCCCAGGGUAAGUCGGGACCUAAGGCGAGGCCGACAGGCGUAGUCGAUGGACAACCGGUUGAUAUUCCGGUACCCGCUUUGAAACGCCCAAUAUCGAAUCAGGCGAUGCUAAGUCCGUGAAGCCGUCCUGGAUCCUUCGGGUGAAGGGAAGUGGUGGAGCCGACGAACCAGACUUGUAGUAGGUAAGCGAUGGGGUGACGCAGGAAGGUAGUCCAGCCCGGGCGGUGGUUGUCCCGGGGUAAGGGUGUAGGCCGAGGGGUAGGCAAAUCCGUCCCUCAUACAAGGCUGAGACCUGAUGCCGAGCCGAUUGUGGUGAAGUGGAUGAUCCUAUGCUGUCGAGAAAAGCCUCUAGCGAGUUUCAUGGCGGCCCGUACCCUAAACCGACUCAGGUGGUCAGGUAGAGAAUACCGAGGCGUUCGGGUGAACUAUGGUUAAGGAACUCGGCAAAAUGCCCCCGUAACUUCGGGAGAAGGGGGGCCAUUCCUGGUGAUCGGAUUUACUCCGUGAGCUGGGGGUGGCCGCAGAGACCAGCGAGAAGCGACUGUUUACUAAAAACACAGGUCCGUGCGAAGCCGUAAGGCGAUGUAUACGGACUGACGCCUGCCCGGUGCUGGAACGUUAAGGGGACCGGUUAGUGACCUUUCGGGGUUGCGAAGCUGAGAACUUAAGCGCCAGUAAACGGCGGUGGUAACUAUAACCAUCCUAAGGUAGCGAAAUUCCUUGUCGGGUAAGUUCCGACCUGCACGAAUGGCGUAACGACUUCUCGACUGUCUCAACCAUAGGCCCGGUGAAAUUGCACUACGAGUAAAGAUGCUCGUUUCGCGCAGCAGGACGGAAAGACCCCGGGACCUUUACUACAGUUUGAUAUUGGUGUUCGGUUCGGCUUGUGUAGGAUAGGUGGGAGACUUUGAAGCCCCAACGCCAGUUGGGGUGGAGUCGACGUUGAAAUACCACUCUGGUCGUGCUGGAUGUCUAACCUCGGUCCGUGAUCCGGAUCAGGGACAGUGUCUGAUGGGUAGUUUAACUGGGGCGGUUGCCUCCCAAAGGGUAACGGAGGCGCCCAAAGGUUCCCUCAGCCUGGUUGGCAAUCAGGUGUUGAGUGUAAGUGCACAAGGGAGCUUGACUGUGAGACCGACGGGUCGAGCAGGGACGAAAGUCGGGACUAGUGAUCCGGCGGUGGCUUGUGGAAGCGCCGUCGCUCAACGGAUAAAAGGUACCCCGGGGAUAACAGGCUGAUCUUCCCCAAGAGUCCAUAUCGACGGGAUGGUUUGGCACCUCGAUGUCGGCUCGUCGCAUCCUGGGGCUGGAGUCGGUCCCAAGGGUUGGGCUGUUCGCCCAUUAAAGCGGUACGCGAGCUGGGUUUAGAACGUCGUGAGACAGUUCGGUCCCUAUCCGCUGUGCGCGUAGGAAUAUUGAGAAGGGCUGUCCCUAGUACGAGAGGACCGGGACGGACGAACCUCUGGUGUGCCAGUUGUCCUGCCAAGGGCAUGGCUGGUUGGCUACGUUCGGGAGGGAUAACCGCUGAAAGCAUCUAAGCGGGAAGCCUGCUUCAAGAUGAGUAUUCCCACCUCCUUGAGAGGGUAAGGCUCCCAGUAGACGACUGGGUUGAUAGGCCAGAUGUGGAAGCCCGGUAACGGGUGGAGCUGACUGGUACUAAUAGGCCGAGGGCUUGUCCUCAGUUG
rnacentral:rRNA from 1 species